GACGAACGCUGGCGGCGUGCCUAAUACAUGCAAGUAGAACGCUGAAGGAGGAGCUUGCUCUUCUGGAUGAGUUGCGAACGGGUGAGUAACGCGUAGGUAACCUGCCUGGUAGCGGGGGAUAACUAUUGGAAACGAUAGCUAAUACCGCAUAACAGUAGAUGUUGCAUGACAUUUGCUUAAAAGGUGCAAUUGCACCACUACCAGAUGGACCUGCGUUGUAUUAGCUAGUUGGUGGGGUAACGGCUCACCAAGGCGACGAUACAUAGCCGACCUGAGAGGGUGAGCGGCCACACUGGGACUGAGACACGGCCCAGACUCCUACGGGAGGCAGCAGUAGGGAAUCUUCGGCAAUGGACGGAAGUCUGACCGAGCAACGCCGCGGGAGGGAAGAAGGGUGUCGGAUCGUAAAGCUCUGUUGUAAGAGAAGAACGAGUGUGAGAGUGGAAAGUUCACACUGUGACGGUAACUUACCAGAAAGGGACGGCUAACUACGUG
rnacentral:rRNA from 1 species